rnacentral:rRNA from 1 species
UACAGAGGGGGCAAGCGUUAUUCGGAAUUAUUGGGUGUAAAGGGCGCGUAGGCGGCCUGGCAAGUGGAUGGUGAAAUCCCUCGGCUUAACCGAGGAACUGCCAUCCAGACUGCUUGGCUUGAGACCGGGAGAGGUGAGUGGAAUUCCCAGUGUAGCGGUGAAAUGCGUAGAUAUUGGGAGGAACACCAGUGGCGAAGGCGGCUCACUGGACCGGUACUGACGCUGAGGCGCGAAAGCGUGGGGAGCAAACGGG